rnacentral:rRNA from 1 species
GAUGAACGCUGGCGGCGUGCCUAAUACAUGCAAGUCGAGCGAACGGACGAGAAGCUUGCUUCUCUGAUGUUAGCGGCGGACGGGUGAGUAACACGUGGAUAACCUACCUAUAAGACUGGGAUAACCUCGGGACACCGGAGCUAAUCCCGGAUAAUCUUUUGAACCGCAUGGUUCAAAAGUGAAAGACGGUCUUGCUGUCACUUAUAGCUGGAUACGCGCUGCAUUAGCUAGUUGGUACGGUAACGGCUUAUCAAGGCAACGAUGCAUAGCCGACCUGAGAGGGUGGUCGGCCACACGAGAGCUGGGACGCGGUCCAUGCUCCUGCGGGAGGCAGCAGUAGGGAAUGGUCCGCAAUGGGCGAAAGCCUGACGGAGCAGCGCCGAGUGAGUGGUGGAGGUCUUCGGAUCGUGAAACUCUGUUAUUGGGGAAGAACAGAUGUGGAAGUAACUGUGCACAUCUUGACGGUACCUAGUCAGAAAGCCACGGCUAACUACGUG